rnacentral:lncRNA from 10 species
AGAGCUGCAUGGAUUUGGAGUCUUAUCCUCACUAGAAGAGAGGAAUGCACCCAAUGGAAAAGAGGAGAGCAACCAAAGUCUAAGCUAAGAGCAUAGUUUCAGAAAGUAUUUCCUCUGGCAUUCAUAGUUUUUGUGGACACACCUGAUACCUGAAAAAAACAAUCUGGGAAAAUCUAGGCUGUAACCAGCUCCCCGUUACCCUCAAUGAUAUCAUGGUGAGAUAUCCAAAACAUCAUUCACUGUUAAAUCCAGGAAACAUCCUUGGAUUUGGAAAUUAUGGAAGGAGAAAUUAUUAUUGGAACUGUACUGAACCUUUAGCUCAACAUAUUAAUUUGAUGCUCUUUAAAUGGAUACACACAUUGGGUUGUGCCCUUCACACUAAUUCUGGACUUUGGCCCGUGAGGCAGAAGCUGACUUGAUGAAAGGAGAGAUUUGGAAAACCUCUUGCUGCCUUUGGAAUUUUGCUGCUGCAUGAGCAGACUGAAACGGUCUGUUGGAUUAUGCAGUUACAUAACCUGCUGACAUGAGUGUGAAGCAAUGUAUCCUGAACCAGCCACCCUGAGCUGACCUGCCAACCGACUGCAGAUGAUGAGUGAACGAGAUUAGCCAAGCCCAGAUUAGGUCAAAAGUACAAGAAAGAAGAAUGUUCAAAACAGAUACAAAGCUAUGAGCAUGUAUAUGCAGAGGUAGAUCAACCUGGAAGCUACUACAAUAGUCCAGGUGAGACAUCAAGAGGACAACUGAGGAAAUAAAGUGGACAUGGAGAAGAGGGAGAAGAUUCAACUAUUUAUACAGUUUGAUGAGGCAGGAUACCAUGCUGUGGAGACCCAUUUGGCAAGAAACUAAAGGCAGCCACCAUCCAAAUGCUAGGAAAAAGCUACAGCUUUCUGUCUGAUGGCAAAGGAGACACUGAAUCCAGUCAACAAUAACAGGAGUUUGAUGGAAGAUCCAUUCCCCAGUGGAGCCUCAGAUAACACCUCAAGUCUGGCCAACAUUCUGACUGUAAACUUAUGAGAGACCCUGAAGCAGAGAAUUCAGCUAAUCCAUGCCUGGGUUUCUGACUCUCAAAAAUUCUGAGAUAAUAAAUGCAU